AGUGAAUAGAUACCCUGGUAGUCCUGGCAGUAAAACGGGUGCGCGUUUGGUGUGGGAGGAUUCGACCCCUUCUGUGCCGGAGCUAAACGCGUUAAACGCGCCGCCUGGGGAGUACGGUCGCAAGAUUAAAACUCAAAGAAAUUGACGGGGGCCCGCACAAGCGGUGGAGUAUGUGGCUUAAUUCGAUGCAACGCGAAGAACCUUACCUAGCCUUGACAUGCAUCUCUAAGUCGGUGAAAGCCGGCGAGUGUAGCAAUACACAAUUUGCACAGGUGCUGCAUGGCUGUCGUCAGCUCGUGUCGUGAGAUGUUGGGUUUAAGUCCCGCAACGAGCGCAACCCCUGUGAACUGUUGCCACCUACAUUCGUGUAGAGCACUCUGUUCAGACUGCCCUGUGAAACGGGGAGGAAGGUGGGGAUGACGUCAAGUCAGCAUGGCCCUUACGGCUAGGGCUGCACACGUACUACAAUGCUCAGUACAGAAUGAACCGAAACCGCGAGGUGGAGGAAAUCCAUAAAACUGAGCCCAA
rnacentral:rRNA from 1 species